UAUUAGCGGAAAUGCUGGACG
rnacentral:misc_RNA from 1 species